CUCCACUGCAACGCGGGAGCAGCCUUGCCCACCGAAACAGCUGACUAGCGAGUAGCGAUACAUGGCUUCGUGCUUCGUGGGCAUCUGUUGAAUUGAAGUUGCAGACUAAUUUGUAAAAGAAAGUGUUGGAGUACAAAGUGCACGAGUUGCCAUUGGGAUACUUUCCGAGCUGCACGAGGUCCCCACGAGCGGCGGCCCUCGACCGGUCGAGAGUAUGUCUGCUCGCCGCAGCAUCUCCACGCGAGACGUGAAUCUGCUUGCUGCGGCUGCUCACCGACACCCGAGACUGGUA